AAUUAGAAAGCGAAUAUUUGCAUUUAGUUUCGACCUAAACCUUGGUUUUCAACCUCUAAUUU
rnacentral:tRNA from 1 species